CCUGUCCCCAGUAUAUGCUCUUAUAAGGGUGUGCUCAAGUGCUUCUUUCUAUCCUUACAGGGAGGAAAAAACAAGUCAAAUUAAUCAAAAAUCCCAUAACUUCUUAACCAAAGCCCGGCAAAAAAAUAAUGAAGUAACAUAUGUUAACUAUAACAGAUCUUCAAAGCUCUAGUUCACGAACAUAGUGUCAGAGUACCCAGAAAGAGCAGAGGAUUACCUGUGCCCUCAGAUAUUUUCAGAAGAGACUGAGGAAGGGAAAAAGAAGAACAGACAACUGAAGUACACAAAGCCAAGCUGCAUGUUUAGGACACAGUCAAAGUGAGCUUAAACAUUGCUGCUUGAAAAUGACAAGAGCACAAGUCACAACGGUUGUGGAGCCUACAGCUGGAAGCAAAUAAAGUUACAAGAGAGAGAGAUUUAUAUUAAAUAAUUAUACAAGUA